AUGUGCUUCAUCAAGAGAUACUUGGAUGACCUUGAGAUUGCAGCUGUCAGAAAUUCAAAACCACCCUUGGGACGGGUGGAUCGGCCCCGUGCUAGAGCGUGGUUACCACCUACGGGGGAGGCGGCAAAACUAAAUUGUGACGGAGCUCUUUCCACCUUGGGAGAAAGGGGAGCUGUUGCAGUGGUAUGUAGGGACAAGGCUGGAAUCUAUCUAGGAGCUUCAGCAGUGGUGUAUGACGGCCUGAUCGACCCAGCGAGCCUGGAGGCGCUAGCUUGUAGCGAGGCCCUUGCCCUUGCUCGGGACUUAAACUUGCAGAACUUAGAGGUAGCCUCAAACUGUCAGGAGGUGAUAUCGCACAUCAGAAACGAAGGGGCACCGGUCUAUGCUCCCGUCCUCAGGGAGAUACCGUUUAGCAGAAAUUUAUUUCAUUCUGUUACUUUCCGUUUCAAAUUUAGGGAGAAUAAUUUUGAGGCUCACUCGCUAGCUAAAGGAGCUGCGUCUCUUGCGGUGGGUCGCCAUGUGUGGCUAGGGGUCCAACCCGACAUUGCUUGUAUUCCUUAG
rnacentral:rRNA from 1 species